rnacentral:lncRNA from 1 species
CUCAGCCUCCUGAGUAGCUGGAACUACAGGCGCCGCGCCACCACUCCCGGCUAAUUUUUUUAUUUUAUUUUAUUUUUUAUUUUUAGUAGAGACGGGGUUUCACCGUAGCCAGAAUGGUCUUGAUCUCCUGACCUCGUCAUCCGCCCGCCUCGGCCUCCCAAAGUGCUGGGCUUACAGGCGUGAGACACUGCGCCCGGCCCAUACUACUACUUUUUUGUUCUAUAAUUGCAAUGCAGGUUCAGUUAUUGUUUUUUUUGUUUUUGGCAAUGCUGAUGUAUCCAUUGGAAUCAAGUCAGAGAAACAGAAGCCACUUUUGGAUUUCAAACAGAAUUUAACAAAGAGAAUGUUGACACAGUUGAAAUUAGAGCUAAAAAAGCCAAACAAAGGAUAAGACGAUCCAGAAAUCUGUAAUGGCAGGAAGUUGUUACCAUGAUUAUGCUGAAAGAAGAAACCCAGAAGACCACCUUACUGGAUCUUAGAAGCCAGGACUACCUGGGAGAAGCUGGAAGUACACUACACAACAGACCUCCAUUCAUGCAGUAAAGGGUUGUUUGGUGGGUAAUGGAGCCACUGAGAAAAACUGGCCAUCGCUGGACAUAACAGUAGAGUUACUGAUUUAGGGAUGGUGAUAUGUCUCCCCCUGCCACCACUUGGAGAAUAAGAUAAAAAGGCAGCUUUAUGAAGGUUUCUUGGAAGGGAAGUCAAUCACUCUUCUGGAGGGUGAAAGAAUCCAACUCUAGAUGUCAACAAGAAAGCAUCUCAUCAUAAUUCCAACUGGCAGACGUUCUCAGAAAAUGAAGACUGAAUUUAGAAUGCAGCCAGCAUAAAGGAUGAUUGAACUAACAAUGGAAAGAACUGAAGAACUUUAUUACAUUGUUGAGCUCUGGGUCAAUAAACCAUAAAGCCUGAUCUCCCUGAAAUUUCAUUUACAUUAUAUUAUGUGUCCUAUUGUUUAAGACAAUUUGCAUUUUUUCCAUUACUUGCAACUAAAAUCAUCCUAACUGACACAUAUAUUCCAGAGAAAAGAGAGUUUGUACAAAGGCACAGUGUUGAGAAUAAGCUUGUCAUAUUUAGGGAACAGCAAGGAUGCUACCAUCGAGUUGUAAAAAAGUAAAGCAGGAGUUAAAUGGUUCUGGGCACUAAAAAGAAAGGCUAUGAUUGCAAAUAUAAAUGGCUUAAGGAGGUGGAAGCCCAGUUUAAUGGAAUUAAGG